GGGGAUGUAGCUCAGUGGUAGAGCGCUCGCUUUGCAUGUGAUAGGCCCCGGGGUCAAUCCCCGGCAUCUCCA
rnacentral:tRNA from 1 species